GCCCCCAUCGUCUAGAGGCCCAGGACAUCGGCCCUUCAAGCCGGUAACAGCGGUUCGAAUCCGCUUGGGGGCA
rnacentral:tRNA from 1 species